AGCCCAUGAAGAUGGCAUAACCUUAACAUUUUCUUAAAUCUCCCCCACACUUCGUAAAGGGAUUCUCUAUCUUUCUGAGUAAAACUUAUAAUUUGGUUUCUCCGUU